rnacentral:rRNA from 1 species
UACAGAGGUCCCAAGCGUUGUUCGGAUUCACUGGGCGUAAAGGGUGCGUAGGUGGCGCGCUAAGUCAGGUGUGAAAUUUCGGAGCUUAACUCCCGAACUGCAUUUGAUACUGGCGUGCUUGAGGACUGGAGAGGAGACUGGAAUUCCUGGUGUAGCAGUGAAAUGCGUAGAUAUCAGGAGGAACACCGAUGGCGAAGGCAGGUCUCUGGGCUGACACUGACGCUCAUGCACGAAAGCGUGGGGAGCAAACAGG